rnacentral:rRNA from 1 species
CGGACGGGUGAGUAAUGUCUGGGAAACUGCCCGAUGGAGGGGGAUAACUACUGGAAACGGUAGCUAAUACCGCAUAACGUCGCAAGACCAAAGAGGGGGACCUUCGGGCCUCUUGCCAUCGGAUGUGCCCAGAUGGGAUUAGCUAGUAGGUGGGGUAACGGCUCACCUGGGCGACGAUCCCUAGCUGGUCUGAGAGGAUGACCAGCCACACUGGAACUGAGACACGGUCCAG